GCAACUGCCGGACAUUGUGGAGCUGCGUGGGUGGCUCCCCUUUGUUGCUGCGCCCUGCAAUUUGUAUGAAUUUCAAAUUUCUUCAGCAUUGAAUAUGAAAAAACCCCAGUGAAAACAGCCGCUCGGCCGACGCAGUCAAGCAGUUUGAAUGAAUAAUUUCCGCAGUUGCCAGUCGCGUCUUCCGCUGGGCCCCGUCUACAAAGAUUCUGCCAGCACUGAAAAAAAAGCACAAAUAGUGUAAAUAGUGGAAAUUCAUAUAAGAAAUCAAAUCAGCUGACUUUGUAUCUAUAAGGUUGCAUGCAACUGGCUACUUGAUCAUAACUAAAACACAUAAUCAUAAUUUCCCCCCCAUUCCGUACCGACUUUUCUCCAAGUGCACAGCUGCGGCUGUUUAUCAUUGUUGCGUUCUCUGCGCCAAAUGAAAAUGAACACGUGCGUCCGGUUGCUGCGGCUCAGCUGCUGCUGAUGAAAAUAAAUACAACAUAUAUUUGCAUUGGAGACGAGGUGCAGCCAAGUGUGCAGUUUCAGCACGGCGGAGUUUCCUUCCGAAGCAACAAUGAUUAAGUCUCCACAUCUGUAGGAAGUGGCUACUGUACGUAUAUCGCACAUAAACCCCAUGUUGAUUGCUCAGCGGAGCUUAUCUGGAGCGAAAUGACCCCAAAAAUGCGAUUGCAAGCGGCAGCAAGGAGUGAAUUCGUCACGGAUUCGACCCUGAAUUUAAUGGUUCACAGAUUGCCAUUUGUUGUGGUCAAAUGAUUUGCACAUUACAUUUAAUUCAUUGGAAUGGCAGAUAAUUUUUAUUUUCAUGAUGAAAACUAAGGAAAUCAUAAGUUCAAAUAAAGUAAAAGCAAACUAAAACA